CCCUUACUACACGUAUAAUUCGCGAGUAUGCACCUCGACGUUCAAAAUCACUCAAAACGGUACAUAAAAUAUUAGGUUCCACGCGAAAUUUUUGUUUUGCCAACUUCGACCCCUCAGCGAACUUUUCAAGAGUCCCAGAGAUCCAUCCGUCGAAUUUUCGAUCUAAUUGUUCCAGCGCAUUCAGAACGACUGGGGCAUCAAAUCUACCAUUUCAUUUCGUCCGAUUCGGUCGGCGAUUUGCGACAAAACCAACCCUCUCCAAUCUCCAAAAACCACACCUAUACAUAUAGAUCCAAUAAAACUCUUUUUCUCGAAAAUCGUGCAUCAGAACCCAAAUCCGUCAGUGCCAUUAGUUCCAAGAUAAUCGAACCGUCGAAAACGAGCUAUUGGAUCACUAUGAACGAAGUCCAAUACACACCAGAAGCCUUCUCUACUCAUUGGCUUCUCCGGAAAACCGGAGUUACUAUUCACUUUAAGUGAUUAGUACAGGUUGCAUCUUCAUCCUAACUCGUUUUCUCCUGAAACUUGAUAAGUGCUUAUGUAAUUACAUUACAUACAAAAACAUCGUCAAUAGAGGGUUUAGCUACACUGUCAAAAUCUCG
rnacentral:lncRNA from 1 species